GCAGACCACUGAAGAGACAGCAUGUAACUUGCCCAGCUGAGAAAGGCUGGCUUCGAACUCAGAGACCCGCUCGCCUUUGCAAGAGUGUUGGGAUGAAAGCCGUGCUCCACCACCGCCACCUGUCACAAAGCCUUUCUCAAGGUGGGGCUGCUGACAUGCUGGGUUCCAAGGCCUGAAUGGUACAUCAGUCAUGGAGUCAGCUUUGCUAAGAAAAAUUGUAUUGCUACAAUUCUUCCAAUGGGCAUCUUUUAUAAAGAGCUGUUGGGGGCUGGAGAGAUGGGUCAGUAGUUAAGAGAACCGGCUGUGACAUCAUAAGGACUGAAGCUUGGAGCCUAGCACCUACAUAACAAUGCUGGCCCUCCAGACGUGUACCUGCAUGAAAACAGUGUGCACGCAGUAGAAGCUGUACAUCAAAAUUUGAAUUUGGGGACCAGUGAGAUGGCUCAGUGGGAAAAAUGCCCUUGUCACCAAGCUUGAAAGGAUUUAUAUUUGAUGCCGGGCAACGAUGAAACUCAAGCAGUAACGAUACCCAUCAACCUGGGUGAAUAUUGAGCCAACUCAGAACUGAGCUGGCUUGUUUGGAUUCAAUUCCACCCAAGAGACUUCAUAUGAUGCCAGCCCCAGUCAGCAUUGCCACUGAGCCUAAGACUGAGCCGAAACACCUGCUCAACUGUUCCCAGGCCCCGGGCCCUGUCAGCUGGAAGCAAGAACGACGCAGGGCACGUAGGAUCCUUCUGCAGAACAG